rnacentral:lncRNA from 13 species
AUGUCCUCCAAUGGGCAGAAUCUUUGACUGACAUUGCAUCAGUUGAUCUAUCCAACGCCCAGUGUAUCCCCGCCCCUCUGGCCACACCCAUCCCUGUUAGCGAUGACCCCUCGAGCCCAGUAGCCCCAGUACAGGCCUGCCCCGCAUGCCCUACUCUGUCCCCGUGUCGGAGCACAUGGAGGAGUGCAGCGUGAUCCCCGACGAUCUGGACAGCCUGCUGGGGGAUGACUGCAUCUCCGAGAAAGUCAGCGAGUCACAGAGCCCAGUCCAAGGCGCUAUCCCACCAACCUCCCCAACACAGCUGUGGGCCUGCACCCUCCAUACUCCUCCAGCCCCCUCACCCCAGCUGCCCCCUGCCUUCUUCAGCUUCACUGUCAGCCAGAUGUCCGCUCUGGAGACGACCAGAGGGGACCAGACCUCCACACAGGUGCUGGAUGCCCUGGGGGCCUUUUCCCUGGAGGCUGGGGACACAGAGGGCAAAGGAGGGGCUGGAAUUGGAGGGCUGGACUCACUCUCUGAGUACAUCUUGCCUGACAUAUGA